UCCAGACUCCUACGGGAGGCAGCAGUGGGGGAUAUUGGACAAUGGGGGGAACCCUGAUCCAGCGACGCCUCUUGAGUGAAGAAGUAUCUCGGUAUUUAAAGCUCUAUCAGCAUGGAAGAAAUAAAUUACGGUACCUUAUUAAGAAGCCCCUUCUAACUACGUGCCAUCCUCCGCGGUACUACUUAGGGGGCAAUCUUUAUCCGGAUUCACUGGGUGUAAAGGGAGCGUAGACGGCCGUGCAAGCCAGGAGUGAAAGCCCGGGGAAAAACCCCGGGACUGCUCUUGGAACUGUGCGGCUAGAGUGCGGGAGGGGAAGGCGGAAUUCCUGGUGUAGCGGUGAAAUGCGUAGAGAUAAGGAGGAACACCGGCGGCGAAGGCGGCCUGCUGGACCGCGACUGACGUUGAGGCUCGAAAGCGUGGGGAGCGAACAGGAUUAGAUACCCCAGUAA
rnacentral:rRNA from 1 species